UACGAAGGGUGCAAGCGUUAAUCGGAAUUACUGGGCGUAAAGGGUGCGUAGGCGGUUCGUUAAGUCUGUUGUGAAAGCCCCGGGCUCAACCUGGGAAUUGCGAUGGAGACUGCAAGGCUUGAAUCUGGCAGAGGGGGGUAGAAUUCCACGUGUAGCAGUGAAAUGCGUAGAGAUGUGGAGGAACACCGAUGGCGAAGGCAGCCCCCUGGGUCAAGAUUGACGCUCAUGCACGAAAGCGUGGGGAGCAAACAGG
rnacentral:rRNA from 1 species